UUAAUUUAGAAUUCAUUGAUGAGUUACUGAAAUUUACUCCUGCACCAUGCAAUGAACCUCUUUAUCAUAAAUUGAAGGACUAUGCAGAGGAAGCUAGGUUGUUAAUUCAGGAUAUUGAUACUGCUUUGUCAAUGAGUUCAAAUAUGUCUGAGUUGGAACUUUUAUACUCCAAAGCUUGUGGCCUACCCAUCUACAUGAAA